rnacentral:lncRNA from 1 species
AAUUUCCAUGUAUUUGCAUGGUUUUGAAGAUUCCCUUUGGAGUUGAUUUCCAGUUUUAUUCCACUGUGGUCCGAUAGUGUGUUUGAUAUAAUUUUAAUUUUCUUAAAUUUAUUGAGGCUCAUUUUAUGGCCUAUCAUGUGGUCCAUUUUGGAGAAAGUUCCAUGCACGGUUGAAUAGAAUGUGUAUUGUGAGGUUGUUGGAAGAAAUUUUCUGUAUGUAUCUGUUAAGUCCAUUUGUUCCAAAGUAUAGUUAAUCCAUUGUUUAUUUGUUGAUUUUCUGUCUUAAUGACCUGUCUAGUGUUGUCAGUGGAGUAUUGAAGUCCUCCAGCAUUAUUGUAUUGCAGUCUAUCUCAUUUCUUAGGUCUAUUAGUAAUUAUUUUAUAAAUUUGGGAGCUCCAGUGUUAGGUGCAUAUAUGUUUAGGAUUGUGAUAUUUUCCUGUUGGACAAGCCUUUUAUCAUUAUAUAAUGUCCCUCUUUGUCUCUUUUAACCACUGUUGCUUUAAAGUUUGUUUUGUCUGAUAUAAGAAUAGUUACCUCUGGUCGCUUUUGGUGUCCAUUUGCAUGAAAUGGCUUUUUCCACCCAUUUACUUUAACUUUAUGUGAGUCCUUAUGUGUUCGGUGAGUCUCCUGAAGACAGUGGAUAGUUGAUUGGUGAGUUCUUAUCUGUUCUGCAGUUCUGUAUCUUUUAAGUGGAGCAUUUAGGUGAUUUACAUUCAAUGUUAGUAUUGAAAUGUGAGGUAAUCCUUGCGUUCAUCGUACUCUUUGUUGCCUGUGUACUUUGUUAUUUUUUUGUUUUUGUUUUUUGCUUUUGCUUUUUACCUUGUAUUUUUGUUUUGUAGGUCCUGUAUGAUUUAUGCUUUAAAGAGGUUCUGUUUUGGUGUGUUUCCAGGCUUCGUUUCAAGAUUUAGACCUCCUUUUAGCAGUUCUUAUAGUGGUGGCUUGGUAAUGGUGAAUUCUCUCAGCAAUUUUGUCUGAAAAUGACUGUUUCUUUCCUUUACGUUUGAUGCUUAGUUUUGCUGGAAACAGAAUUCUUGGCUGAUAAUUGUUUUGUUUGAAGAGGCUAAAGAUAGGGCCGCAUUGCCUUCUGGCUUGUACGGUUUCUGCUGAGAAAUCUGCUAGGUUAGUCUGAUAUGUUUUCCUUUAUAGGUUACCUGGUGCUUCUGUCUCACAGCUCUUAAGAUUUUUUUCCUUCAUCUUAACUUUGGAUAACCUGAUGACAAUGUGCCUAGGUGAAGAUCUUUUUGUGAUGAAUUUCCCAGGUAUUCUUUGUGCUUCUUAUAUUUGCAUGUGUAGGUCUCUAGCUAGGUUGGGGAAGUUUUCCUCAAUUAUUCCCCCAAAUAUGUUUUCCAAGCUUUUAGAAUUCUCUUCUUCCCCAGGAACACCCAUUAUUCUUAGGUUUGGUCAUUUAACAUGAUCCCAGACUUCUUGGAGGAUUUGUUCAUAUUUUCGUAUUCUUUUUUCUUUGUCUUUGUUGGAUUGGGUUAAUUCAAAGACCUUGUCUUUGAGCUCUGAAUUUCUUUCUUGUACUUGUUCAAUUCUGUUGCUGAGACUUUCCAAAGCAUUUUGCAUUUCUAAAAGCGUGUCCAAAGUUUCCUGAAUUGUGGAUUGUUUUCCUUUAAGCUGUCUAUUUCAUUGAAUAUUUAUCCCUUCACUUCUUGUAUCAUUUUUUUGGAUUUCCUUGCAUUGGGCUUCACCUUUCUCUGGUCCUUCCCUGAUUAGCUUAGUAACUAACCUCCUGAAUUCUUUUUCAGAUAAAUCGGGAUUUCUUCUUGGUUUGGAUCCAUUGCUGGUGAACCAGGAUGAUUUUUGGGGGGUGUUGAAGGGCCUUGUUUUGUCAUAUAACCAGAGUUGGUUUUCUGGUUCCUUCUCAUUUGGGUAGGCUCUGUCAGAGAGAAGGUCUAAGGCUGAAGGCUGUUGUUCAGAUUCUUUUGUCCCAUGGGGUGUUCCCCUGAUGUAGUACUCUCCCCCUUUUCCUAUGGGUAUGGCUUCCUGUGAGCCAAACUGCAGUGAUUGUCGUCUCUCUUCUGAGUCUAGCCAGCCAGUGUGUCUGCCCAGCUCUGGGCUGGUAUUGGGGGUUUUCUGUACAGAGUCCUGUGAUGUGGACCAUCUAUGGGUCUCUGAGCCAUGGAUACUAAGGGAAGAAAACACCCCUCAUAUUGUCUUAUGCCCAAUUUCUGCCUCCAAAGAAAGAAGAAGUAAAAAUUAAAAGGCAGAAAUGAAAUCCACAAGCAGACAGUUCAGCGCCACACCCUGGGCCUGGUAAUUAAAGAUUGACCCCUGAC